rnacentral:rRNA from 1 species
UACGGAGGGAGCUAGCGUUGUUCGGAAUUACUGGGCGUAAAGCGCACGUAGGCGGCUUUGUAAGUUAGAGGUGAAAGCCCGGGGCUCAACCCCGGAAUUGCCUUUAAGACUGCAUCGCUUGAAUCCAGGAGAGGUGAGUGGAAUUCCGAGUGUAGAGGUGAAAUUCGUAGAUAUUCGGAAGAACACCAGUGGCGAAGGCGGAUCUCUGGACAGUUACUGACACUGAGGCACGAAGGCCAGGGGAGCAAACAGG